rnacentral:rRNA from 1 species
AACGAACGCUGGCGGCAUGCCUAACACAUGCGAGUCGAACGAGACCUUCGGGUCUAGUGGCGCACGGGUGCGUAACGCGUGGGAACCUGCACUUAGGUUCGGAAUAACUCCCCGACAGGGGUGCUAAUACCGGAUAAUGUCUUCGGACCAAAGAUUUAUCGCCUUUGGAUGGGCCCGCGUUGGAUUAGCUAGUUGGUAGGGUAAAAGCCUACCAAGGCGACGAUCCAUAGCUGGUCUGAGAGGAUGAUCAGCCACACUGGGACUGAGACACGGCCCAGACUCCUACGGGAGGCAGCAGUGGGGAAUAUUGGACAAUGGGCGAAAGCCUGAUCCAGCAAUGCCGCGUGAGUGAUGAAGGCCUUAGGGUUGUAAAGCUCUUUUACCCGGGAUGAUAAUGACAGUACCGGGAGAAUAAGCUCCGGCUAACUCCGUG